UACGUAGGGGGCAAGCGUUGUCCGGAUUUACUGGGCGUAAAGAGCGUGUAGGCGGCCAAGCAGGUCCGUUGUGAAAACUGGAGGCUUAACCUCCAGACGUCGACGGAAACCGCGCGGCUAGAGUCCGGAAGAGGAGAGUGGAAUUCCUGGUGUAGCGGUGAAAUGCGCAGAUAUCAGGAAGAACACCCGUGGCUAAGGCGGUUCUCUAGUACGGUACUGACGCUGAGACGCGAAAGCGUGGGGAGCGAACAGG
rnacentral:rRNA from 1 species